rnacentral:rRNA from 1 species
UACGGGGGGAGCAAGCGUUGUUCGGAUUUACUGGGCGUAAAGGGCGCGUAGGCGGUCAGCACAAGUCAGUUGUGAAAUCUCCGGGCUUAACUCGGAAAGGUCAACUGAUACUGUGCGACUAGAGUGCGGAAGGGGCAACUGGAAUUCUCGGUGUAGCGGUGAAAUGCGUAGAUAUCGAGAGGAACACCUGCGGCGAAGGCGGCAUCCUGGACCAACACUGACACUGAGGAGCGAAAGCCAGGGGAGCAAACGGG